UUUGGUUAAGUUAGAAAGGGCGCACGGUGGAUGCCUUGACACUAGGAGUCGAUGAAGGACGGGACUAACGCCGAUAUGCUUCGGGGAGCUGUAAGUAAGCUUUGAUCCGAAGAUUUCCGAAUGGGGAAACCCACCAUACGUAAUGGUAUGGUAUCCUUAUCUGAAUACAUAGGGUAAGGAAGACAGACCCAGGGAACUGAAACAUCUAAGUACCUGGAGGAAGAGAAAGCAAAUGCGAUUUCCUGAGUAGCGGCGAGCGAAACGGAACAUAGCCCAAACCAAGAGGCUUGCCUCUUGGGGUUGUAGGACAUUCUAUACGGAGUUACAAAGGAACGAGGUAGACGAAGCGACCUGGAAAGGUCCGUCGUAGAGGGUAACAACCCCGUAGUCGAAACUUCGUUCUCUCUUGAAUGUAUCCUGAGUACGGCGGAACACGUGAAAUUCCGUCGGAAUCUGGGAGGACCAUCUCCCAAGGCUAAAUACUCCCUAGUGAUCGAUAGUGAACCAGUACCGUGAGGGAAAGGUGAAAAGCACCCCGGAAGGGGAGUGAAAGAGAUCCUGAAACCGUGUGCCUACAAAUAGUCAGAGCCCGUUAACGGGUGAUGGCGUGCCUUUUGUAGAAUGAACCGGCGAGUUACGAUCCCGUGCGAGGUUAAGCUGAAGAGGCGGAGCCGCAGCGAAAGCGAGUCUGAAUAGGGCGUUUAGUACGUGGUCGUAGACCCGAAACCAGGUGAUCUACCCAUGUCCAGGGUGAAGUUCAGGUAACACUGAAUGGAGGCCCGAACCCACGCACGUUGAAAAGUGCGGGGAUGAGGUGUGGGUAGCGGAGAAAUUCCAAUCGAACCUGGAGAUAGCUGGUUCUCCCCGAAAUAGCUUUAGGGCUAGCCUUAAGUGUAAGAGUCUUGGAGGUAGAGCACUGAUUGGACUAGGGGUCCUCAUCGGAUUACCGAAUUCAGUCAAACUCCGAAUGCCAAUGACUUAUCCUUAGGAGUCAGACUGCGAGUGAUAAGAUCCGUAGUCAAAAGGGAAACAGCCCAGACCGCCAGCUAAGGUCCCAAAGUGUGUAUUAAGUGGAAAAGGAUGUGGAGUUGCUUAGACAACUAGGAUGUUGGCUUAGAAGCAGCCACCAUUUAAAGAGUGCGUAAUAGCUCACUAGUCGAGUGACUCUGCGCCGAAAAUGUACCGGGGCUAAAUACACCACCGAAGCUGCGGAUUGAUACCAAUGGUAUCAGUGGUAGGGGAGCGUUCUAAGGACAGUGAAGUCAGACCGUAAGGACUGGUGGAGUGCUUAGAAGUGAGAAUGCCGGUAUGAGUAGCGAAAGACGGGUGAGAAUCCCGUCCACCGAAUGCCUAAGGUUUCCUGAGGAAGGCUCGUCCGCUCAGGGUUAGUCAGGACCUAAGCCGAGGCCGACAGGCGUAGGCGAUGGACAACAGGUUGAUAUUCCUGUACCACCUCUUUAUCGUUUGAGCAAUGGAGGGACGCAGAAGGAUAGAAGAAGCGUGCGAUUGGUUGUGCACGUCCAAGCAGUUAGGCUGAUAAGUAGGCAAAUCCGCUUAUCGUGAAGGCUGAGCUGUGAUGGGGAAGCUCCUUAUGGAGCGAAGUCUUUGAUUCCCCGCUGCCAAGAAAAGCUUCUAGCGAGAUAAAAGGUGCCUGUACCGCAAACCGACACAGGUAGGCGAGGAGAGAAUCCUAAGGUGUGCGAGAGAACUCUGGUUAAGGAACUCGGCAAAAUGACCCCGUAACUUCGGGAGAAGGGGUGCUUUCUUAACGGAAAGCCGCAGUGAAUAGGCCCAAGCGACUGUUUAGCAAAAACACAGCUCUCUGCGAAGCCGUAAGGCGAAGUAUAGGGGGUGACACCUGCCCGGUGCUGGAAGGUUAAGGAGAGGGGUUAGCGUAAGCGAAGCUCUGAACUGAAGCCCCAGUAAACGGCGGCCGUAACUAUAACGGUCCUAAGGUAGCGAAAUUCCUUGUCGGGUAAGUUCCGACCCGCACGAAAGGUGUAACGAUUUGGGCACUGUCUCAACCAGAGACUCGGUGAAAUUAUAGUACCUGUGAAGAUGCAGGUUACCCGCGACAGGACGGAAAGACCCCGUGGAGCUUUACUGUAGCCUGAUAUUGAAUUUUGGUACAGUUUGUACAGGAUAGGCGGGAGCCAUUGAAACCGGAGCGCUAGCUUCGGUGGAGGCGCUGGUGGGAUACCGCCCUGACUGUAUUGAAAUUCUAACCUACGGGUCUUAUCGACCCGGGAGACAGUGUCAGGUGGGCAGUUUGACUGGGGCGGUCGCCUCCUAAAGUGUAACGGAGGCGCCCAAAGGUUCCCUCAGAAUGGUUGGAAAUCAUUCGUAGAGUGCAAAGGCAUAAGGGAGCUUGACUGCGAGACCUACAAGUCGAGCAGGGACGAAAGUCGGGCUUAGUGAUCCGGUGGUUCCGCAUGGAAGGGCCAUCGCUCAACGGAUAAAAGCUACCCCGGGGAUAACAGGCUUAUCUCCCCCAAGAGUCCACAUCGACGGGGAGGUUUGGCACCUCGAUGUCGGCUCAUCGCAUCCUGGGGCUGUAGUCGGUCCCAAGGGUUGGGCUGUUCGCCCAUUAAAGCGGUACGCGAGCUGGGUUCAGAACGUCGUGAGACAGUUCGGUCCCUAUCCGUCGUGGGCGUAGGAAAUUUGAGAGGAGCUGUCCUUAGUACGAGAGGACCGGGAUGGACGCACCGCUGGUGUACCAGUUGUUCUGCCAAGGGCAUAGCUGGGUAGCUAUGUGCGGAAGGGAUAAGUGCUGAAAGCAUCUAAGCAUGAAGCCCCCCUCAAGAUGAGAUUUCCCAUAGCGUAAGCUAGUAAGAUCCCUGAAAGAUGAUCAGGUUGAUAGGUUCGAGGUGGAAGCAUGGUGACAUGUGGAGCUGACGAAUACUAAUAGAUCGAGGACUUAACCAUUUAA
rnacentral:rRNA from 1 species